rnacentral:lncRNA from 1 species
GACUCAGCAGAAAGACCAAGAAAGCUCCACAAUAGCUCAGACGACAGAUGACUGUGGCCUGGCCCAGGGUGGUGGCAGCAGGGAAGAGGAGUGGAUGGGUUGGAAAACACCGCAGGAAGUAGGGCUCGGUGAUUAACUGGAAACGGGAACUAGGAAGGAGAACAACUUCUCUAUUUCUGGUUUGGGCAUUGGAUGGAUGAAGGUGCCAUGAGUGCCUUCAUGGGACGGGGGAGACCCCACUGGAGGAGCAGGUGUUGGGUGGUGGGCAUGUUGAGAGAGAGAGAGGGCUAUGGGCACUGGGCAAACACUCCAUGGGUAUGAAGAGAGAGACCCGGCUGGAAAUGCAGAUCUGGGGGACAUCAGGGUAGAGGUGGUGACUGAGGUCACAGGAGCAGCUGAGACAGUCCAGAGAGCUUGUAGCAAAGUUAGAGGAGGACCCGAUGGAGCCCCAGCGGUGCAGCAGGAACAGAGGCCCUCUACGCAGACUGGGAGGGAUAGCCAGAGAGCUGGGAGGGAAAGCAGAAGAGAGAAGUGUCAGAGAGGCCACGUGAAGAACAUGUUUCAAAGCGGGAGUAGACAACAGUGUCAAAUGCUGCCAAGAGGUCAAGUGAGAUAAGGCGUGAAAAAUGUCCUCUGGAUUUGGUGACACAUUGGUCACUGGGUCCCUUGGCAAGGGCAGCCUUCUCUCAGAAGGAGAGGAAGACCAGAACAGGCCCAGAAAAAGUGAGAAAGGGGAGGGGCAGUGAGGAGGUAGAGACAGUAAGUGUAGGUUUAACAAUUUGAAGAUGUUUGACUGCAAAGAAGAGAUCAGAGAUCGUAGCUGGAGAAGGAUGCAGGGUAUAGGGAAUCUUUUUCUUUUCUUUUAAGAUGAGAGAGCCAGAGUGGAAGGAGCCAAGAGAUCAAGAAGGAGAAGUUGAAGAUGCGGGGAGACAGAGCUUGAUUAUCCAGUAGGAAGCAGCCUGUGUGAGAAGAGGACCGCUCCCCACCCCCAAGUAUCCACCAAGGCCAAGGAAUGGAACUAAGAACCACAGAGGAAAGUUGGCAGAGGUGCAGAGAGAUGGGCCAUGAGACUGCACUACGCUGGAACCUCAUCCCCCUGCUCUCUAUCCCAUGAAUCCAAAAUGUGCUUUCUGCCUUGAAGCCUCUAAAGAAUUCUCUUUCCUUACCAUAUCUGUCCUCUACCUCCAGAAGCCAAUUUUUCUUUUUCUUUAUCCCAAAUGUAAUAGUACAGAAGCCAGUUUUUAUUGAGCCAGCUUGAAUGGUUUCUGUCCCACGGGACAUGAAAGGCAGUGUCUUCUAGACAAGGUGUUUGAUGAGGAAUAGCUUCCUCCUCUCCCACCUGCACCAGCCCCAAACCUUCCGACUUGUUCUGUCUGCUUCCUUCUGCCGUGCCAGCCUGCCUACCUGUUGCACCAGGUCAGUGGGCUGAGCAAUGUGUUGACAAGAGCCAGAGUGGAACAAAGAGGACACAGGGGCAUCCAUCUGUUGGGACUGGCCAGACAGAGCUGACUUCUCAAACAGGGAGGUGUGGGCCCUCCCAAGCAGGAUGCCAUUGAAAGGAAGGGGAAACAUGGGGUGGAAUUUAGGCAGCCAGGAUUUGAGAAACUCAAGCAAGAUGGCUAGUGGAAACCUUCCCUCGGUUCCACUGAGCAGCUCCGUGCAGAUUCGG